UAGUCUUCAGAAAGGAGACCCAACCUUUCCCCCAAUUAAUCUCAUUUUUCUGCUAUAUCUAUUUAUCCUUUUUCUUUUAAAGAUAUUAUCAGUUUUAAAUAUUUGGGCCACUUGAGUGUAGUGGUGCAGGUGCAGUGGCCUCCACUGCUGCUAUUCACAACACCCAGAGGACAGCAAUCAGGUUCACACCUGAGAUAGGGGAAAAGUGGCACAACAGUUCCCCUACUUCAUUACUCAAGCCUGGGUGGUUUAGCUCUAAGAAGCAGCAGCAAGGAGUGAAGUUUGUUUUUGAAAGCAAACUAACUAGCUGGGAACCUGGCAUGCUGGUCUGUCUGAGCUCUGCAGUUUCCCUCUUCUUCCUUACAACUCUUCUACCCUCUUCAGUUCAGGUUUUCAAUUCUAUAUCAAUUAAGAAACCACAUUUUGGUUUUGAGUGACUAGCUUUUAGUUUUAUUUGUAAGCCAGUAAAAGAAGACUGCAAAUCUUCAUCCUUCUUUGGAAGGACUGAUAUGAAUAAAUAGGUGUUAGUUGAGUAUCUGGUAACUGCCAAAACAGAAGAUACGAAAUGUGGAGAUGCAUGCUCUGUCUGGAAGGCUUCGAAAGACCAGCUCCUGUGUUCUGCCACUACCCUAGAGAAAUCCCUGUGUACUUAUUUGCUCUUGGAAACAACAAAUUGCUGUCUGAAGCCAUGGGAGUCCCUGCCUCUGUCUGCUACAGUACCAUAUUUCUUGCAUUGAAGAAAAAUCUUCAUCCACUGUGAAGCCAUGUUGUGCAGCUCCCAUAGACUUGCACUGACUGUCGAAUUGUGUUAUUUUAAUGAUGCUGUAGUAUCUCCAAAGGCCUAUUUAAAUCCACUUACCUGUUAGGCUGAAUUUUUUGGGGAAGUUGCAGAUAUAUGGGGGAGGGUGGGAUUCGAAGUCUACACAAGACUGAGAAGCAAGAUCUUUUUUCCCUAAUCAAAUGCAUGUGAUGCAGUCAUUCAGAAGGAAUCAGGAACUGCACUGUCUUCAGAUGAAUGUAUGUGCGGCAGGACACGAUGGAUGACAAAGUUUACGUUGAAUUCAUACUGUGUGCUUUAGAGAAUAUAUCUAUCUGAAAUGUAAAUACAAGAGAAUUCAGAUAUUUGCUCUCUAGCAGCAGAUUUAGGGAAAAAUAAAGAAACCAACUUGAAGUAAUGUUGCA
rnacentral:lncRNA from 1 species